rnacentral:rRNA from 1 species
CAUGGCUUUUUGAGUAUAAUUUAAAGUCUGACCUGCCCAAUGAAAAUUUAAAUGGCCGCGGUAUUUUGACCGUGCAAAGGUAGCAUAAUCAUUAGUUUUUUAAUUGAAAGCUGGAAUGAAAGGUUGGAUGAGAAAAUGGCUGUCUCUAUUUAAUUUUAAUAGAAAUUUAUUUUUAAGUUAAAAAGCUUAAAUAUUAAUAAAAGACGAGAAGACCCUAUAGAGUUUUAUUAAUUUAAAUAUAAGAUUUUUAGAAUUAAUAAUCUUUUUAUUAAAAAUUAAUUUAGUUGGGGUGAUUGAAAAAUUAAAAAAACUUUUUUUAUAUAUUAACAUUAAUUUAUGAAUAUUUGAUCCUUGAUUUUAAGAUUAAAAGAAUAAAUUACCUUAGGGAUAACAGCGUAAUUUUUCUAGAGAGUUCUUAUCGAAAGAAGAGUUUGCGACCUCGAUGUUGGAUUAAAAUAAAAUUUUGGUGUAGAAGCUAAAAUAUUUAGGUCUGUUCGACCUUUAAAAUUUUACUUGAUCUGAGUUC